AACGAGCGCAACCCUUGUCAUUAGUUGCUACAUUCAGUUGGGCACUCUAAUGAGACUGCCGGUGACAAGCCGGAGGAAGGUGGGGAUGACGUCAAGUCCUCAUGGCCCUUAUAGGUGGGGCUACACACGUCAUACAAUGGCUGGUACAAAGGGUUGCUAACCCGCGAGGGGGAGCCAAUCCCAUAAAGCCAGUCGUAGUCCGGAUCGUAGUCUGCAACUCGACUACGUGAAGUCGGAAUCGCUAGUAAUCGUGGAUCAGAAUGUCACGGUGAAUACGUUCCCGGGUCUU
rnacentral:rRNA from 1 species